rnacentral:lncRNA from 1 species
AUGCCUACGACAAAGUUGCAGAGUUCUGAUGGAGAGAUAUUUGAAGUUGCUGUAGAAACUGCCAAACAAUCUGUGACCGUCAAGGCCGUGCCGGAAGAGUUGGGAAUGGAUGAUGAUCCUGUUCCUUUACCAAAUGUUAAUGCAGCAAUUCUGAAAGAGGUCAUUCAGUGGUGCUCCCACCACAAAGAGGACCCUCCUCCCCUGAGGAUGAUGAAAACAAAGAAAACGGACAGAUGAUAUUCCUGUUUGGGACCAAGAAUUCCUGAAAGUUGACCAAGGAAUACUUUUUGAACUUAUUCUGGCUGCAAACUACUUAGACAUCAAAGGUUUGCUUGAUGUCACAUGCAAGACUGUGGCCAUUAAGAUUAAGGGGGAAACUCCUGAGGAGAUUCGUAAAACCUUCAAUAUCAAAAAUGACUUUACUGAAGAGGAGGAGGCCCAGGUACGCAAAGAGAACCAAUGAUGUGGCGAGAAGUGA